rnacentral:tRNA from 1 species
GGCCCAUUAGCUCAGUUGGUUAGAGCAAGCGACUCAUAAUCGCUGGGUCUCCCGUUCGAUCCGGGAAUGGGCCACCA